AUUGAACGCUGGCGGCAGGCCUAACACAUGCAAGUCGAGCGGAUGACGGGAGCUUGCUCCUGGAUUCAGCGGCGGACGGGUGAGUAAUGCCUAGGAAUCUGCCUGGUAGUGGGGGACAACGUUUCGAAAGGAACGCUAAUACCGCAUACGUCCUACGGGAGAAAGCAGGGGACCUUCGGGCCUUGCGCUAUCAGAUGAGCCUAGGUUGGAUUAGCUUGUUGGUGAGGUAAUGGCUCACCAAGGCGACGAUCCGUAACUGGUCUGAGAGGAUGAUCAGUCACACUGGAACUGAGACACGGUCCAGACUCCUACGGGAGGCAGCAGUGGGGAAUAUUGGACAAUGGGCGAAAGCCUGAUCCAGCCAUGCCGCGUGUGUGAAGAAGGUCUUCGGAUUGUAAAGCACUUUAAGUUGGGAGGAAGGGUUGUAGAUUAAUACUCUGCAAUUUUGACGUUACCGACAGAAUAAGCACCGGCUAACUCUGUGCCAGCCGCCGCAGUAA
rnacentral:rRNA from 1 species